rnacentral:rRNA from 1 species
UACGUAGGGAGCGAGCGUUGUCCGGAUUUAUUGGGCGUAAAGAGCUCGUAGGCGGUUUGGUAAGUCGGGUGUGAAAGCUCCGGGCUCAACUCGGAGAGGUCACUCGAUACUGCCAUGACUGGAGUCCGGUAGGGGGGUGUGGAAUUCCCAGUGUAGCGGUGAAAUGCGCAGAUAUUGGGAGGAACACCAAUGGCGAAGGCAGCACCCUGGGCCGGCAUUGACGCUGAGGCGCGAAAGCUAGGGGAGCAAACGGG